rnacentral:rRNA from 1 species
UAGAAAUACGUGGCAUACGGCUCAGUAACACGUAGUCAACAUGCCCAGGGGACGUGGAUAACCUCGGGAAACUGAGGAUAAACCGCGAUAGGCCAUGAUUUCUGGAAUGGUUCAUGGCUGAAAUCUAUAUGGCCCCUGGAUUGGACUGCGGCCGAUCAGGCUGUUGGUGAGGUAGUGGCCCACCAAACCUGUAACCGGUACGGGCUCUGAGAGGAGGAGCCCGGAGAUGGGCACUGAGACAAGGGCCCAGGCCCUAUGGGGCGCAGCAGGCGCGAAAUCUCUGCAAUAGGCGAAAGCUUGACAGGGUUACUCUGAGUGAUUCCCGCUAAGGGGAUCUUUUGGUACCUUUAAAAAUGGUGCAGAAUAAGGGGUGGGCAAGUCUGGUGUCAGCCGCCGCGGUAAUACCAGCACCCCGAGUGGUCGGGACGAUUAUUGGGCCUAAAGCAUCCGUAGCCGGUACUGCAAGUCUUCCGUUAAAUCCACCUGCUUAACAGUUGGGCUGCGGGGGAUACUACAGCGCUAGGAGGCGGGAGAGGCAAGCGGUACUCAAUGGGUAGGGGUAAAAUCCGCUGAUCCAUUGAAGACCACCAGUGGCGAAGGCGGCUUGCCAGAACGCGCUCGACGGUGAGGGAUGAAAGCUGGGGGAGCAAACCGGAUUAGAUACCCGGGUAGUCCCAGCUGUAAACGAUGCAGACUCGGUGAUGGGCUGGCCUUGUGCCAGCCCAGUGCCGCAGGGAAGCCGUUAAGUCUGCCGCCUGGGGAGUACGGUCGCAAGACUGAAACUUAAAGGAAUUGGCGGGGGA